rnacentral:rRNA from 1 species
UUAUACCGUAGCUUGCUACACCAUAGACUGUGAGUUGCGAACGGGUGAGUAACGCGUAGGUAACCUACCUAUUAGAGGGGGAUAACUAUUGGAAACGAUAGCUAAUACCGCAUAACAGUAUGUAACACAUGUUAGAUGCUUGAAAGAUGCAAUUGCAUCGCUAGUAGAUGGACCUGCGUUGUAUUAGCUAGUAGGUAGGGUAAUGGCCUACCUAGGCAACGAUACAUAGCCGACCUGAGAGGGUGAUCGGCCACACUGGGACUGAGACACGGCCCAGACUCCUACGGGAGGCAGCAGUAGGGAAUCUUCGGCAAUGGGGGGAACCCUGACCGAGCAACGCCGCGUGAGUGAAGAAGGUUUUCGGAUCGUAAAGCUCUGUUGUUAAGGAAGAACGAGUGUGAGAAUGGAAAGUUCAUGCUGUGACGGUACUUAACCAGAAAGGGACGGCUAACUACGUGCCAGCAGCCGCGGUAAUACGUAGGUCCCGAGCGUUGUCCGGAUUUAUUGGGCGUAAAGCGAGCCCAGGCGGUUAGAAAAGUCUGAAGUGAAAGGCAGUGGCUCAACCAUUGUAGGCUUUGGAAACUGUUUAACUUGAGUGCAGAAGGGGAGAGUGGAAUUCCAUGUGUAGCGGUGAAAUGCGUAGAUAUAUGGAGGAACACCGGUGGCGAAAGCGGCUCUCUGGUCUGUAACUGACGCUGAGGCUCGAAAGCGUGGGGAGCGAACAGGAUUAGAUACCCUGGUAGUCCACGCCGUANACGAUGAGUGCUAGGUGUUAGGUCCUUUCCGGGACUUAGUGCCGCAGCUAACGCAUUAAG